rnacentral:siRNA from 1 species
GCGCUUCAAUACUCCGGCCUCCU